rnacentral:rRNA from 1 species
AGUGAACGCUGGCGGUAGGCCUAACACAUGCAAGUCGAACGGCAGCACAGUAAGAGCUUGCUCUUACGGGUGGCGAGUGGCGGACGGGUGGGGAAUACAUCGGAAUCUACUUUUUCGUGGGGGAUAACGUAGGGAAACUUACGCUAAUACCGCAUACGACCUACGGGUGAAAGCAGGGGAUCUUCGGACCUUGCGCGAUUGAAUGCGCCGAUGUCGGAUUAGCUAGUUGGCGGGGUAAAGGCCCACCAAGGCGACGAUCCGUAGCUGGUCUGAGAGGAUGAUCAGCCACACUGGAACUGAGACACGGUCCAGACUCCUACGGGAGGCAGCAGUGGGGAAUAUUGGACAAUGGGCGCAAGCCUGAUCCAGCCAUACCGCGUGGGUGAAGAAGGCCUUCGGGUUGUAAAGCCCUUUUGUUGGCAAAGAAAAGCAGCAGGUUAAUACCCCGCUGUUCUGACGGUACCCAAAGAAUAAGCACCGGCUAACUUCGUG